AGAUUGAACGCUGGCGGAAUGCUUUACACAUGCAAGUCGAACGGCAGCACGGGGGCAACCCUGGUGGCGAGUGGCGAACGGGUGAGUAAUACAUCGGAACGUGCCCAGUCGUGGGGGAUAACUACGCGAAAGCGUAGCUAAUACCGCAUACGAUCUACGGAUGAAAGCGGGGGAUCGCAAGACCUCGCGCGAUUGGAGCGGCCGACGGCAGAUUAGGUAGUUGGUGGGUAAAGCUCACCAAGCCGUCGAUCUGUAGCUGGUCUGAGAGACGACAGCCACACUGGGACUGAGACGACGGCCAGACUCCGUACGGGAGCAGCAGGUAGGGUAAGUUUGGACUAAGUGGGCGACAACGCUUAGACUACACG
rnacentral:rRNA from 1 species